UUUUUACUUUUUUCUCCAAAAAACUUUUAGUUAAAAUUUGUCUAAAAUUUCGUGCUCCUCUAAAAAUAAAUUGGGGUCUAUUUAGGAGAUAGACCCCAAUUUAUUUUUAGAGGAGCACAAAAUUUUAGACAAAUUUUAACUAAAAGUUUUUUGGAGAAAAAAGUAAAAA